GGCUCGGGCUCAUAGUGUUCCAGGCGCUUUUCCGUCCCGUCCGCUUCUCCCCCCUCCCCCCGGCUUAGUUAGUUGUGCUCAGAGCUUUCCCGAUGAGGUUGUAGCUUUAAGUGCUGCUCCCUUUCUCCUACGGUCCUCCUCUGGGGGUCCCUUAUCCUCCUGAAAGGAGAAUACAGAGCUGGACUCUUCCUUAGAGACCAGCCCUUUCAUUUUAUGAAUGAGGAAAUUAAGCUCAUACAAGUUAAGGGAAUUUUCCAAAUCUGAGAGGUUUCUGAAAUGGCAGACUGCUGACUCCAAAUCCAGCACUAUUUCCACUACACCACGGUCCAAUGCUCUUUGCAUCACUUUAUUAGCCUCAAAUUUUGGUGUUAUCGACUACCAACGGGUGGAAAGAUCAGUUUUCUUUGUAGCUUUGCUGGUGAGGCCUGAGCCAAGAACCUGAGAAGAUGUAGAGCGGGAUGCCUGGCAGCCAUAGGAGAUGAUGGAAAAAAGCUGUUUACUUUUAGAGAAAGCCCCUAAUCCUUCUUUCCUACUGCUGGGAAGUCUAGACCAGUGCUGAGCCCAGAGCUGAGACAGCAGACCUGCCUUCCUGUGGCCCAGCUCCUCCACCACCGAUGUUUUCCAUCUCCUGUCAUCCUGCUGCUUUGCUGGACCUGGGGAAAGACUUGAAGAAUAGGAGGAAGGGAAGAGAGAAAGAAGAAAAAUAAGCCACCAUUUCCACUUGGAUCAUUAGACAUCAGCAAGACUUAUGUGUAUGUGUGGUCCACAGAAGUGAAGUAACUUUUCUACAGUCACCAGGGCAGUGAUGCUGAACUGGCUGCAAAAUCUUGUUAUUAGGAUGUUGGGAUGCCACUCUCUAUUCACCUAAAAUGAAAGAAUAAAUGCCAAGACAGGCCAAGAAGCCAGACCCAUAUUCACAGGGCAACAUGGCUUCCAAGGGAAGAAGGGCCAAGCCCUCUCCCCUAACAGCAUUAUCACUCACCAGAAGCCACAAGCAAUGUAGUUAAAGAGAUUUAUUAAAACCAAGCAGCCAAACUGCAUGGUCUUGGCUCUUCCCAUCCUGGCUACGCAGCCAGAAAAGACUUCUCCUAACCACAUGGUUAACAGGAGUUACAGAAAGUCUACACGUGCUCCAAGGUCUCUGCAAAGCAUUUGGUGAGAUCAAGAAGGAAGAUGGAGCCAUCUCACUUAGCAUGUAGCAUGAAAAUCUCUACCUGAGAAUUCCUGUGAAAUGGAGAAGGAAUUUCUUUUCCCCUACUCCACCUUGGUGGCAAUGGUGACCACAUGCACAUGGCAGGAACCUCAUUUAGUUUUCUGGAGAGGAACUCAAAGAUGAGGCGGCAUCUUUCAGCACCCGACUUCCUGAACCUGUCAACCAACAAAGAUCGACUUUAAGAAUAAACUUCUGAGAGCAGCUAAGGCUCUGGAGUAUUUCCCUCCCUCUCUGUAGCCAGUUUACUUUGAACACAGCAAAUUAUCCGAAGAAUUCAAACAAAAGCCACACUUUUACUUCAGUUAUUCUGUAGAUCUUCUAUUUUUAAAAAGCA